UUGAGUGAGUUUACAUAAGAAACAGUAAUUACGUGCUGUGUAAAUUUACAUAUUUUUUUCUGUGUAAUGCAAGAUUGCCAUUCAACAGCACGUGCAAGUGCUAAUUAGCAUUGUGGGCGUAGCAUUCAAGAUAGCUGAGAUAGUGCUGUUUAAAUGCGGCGGCUGGCAACUCUGUUUGUAAGUUUUCAUGAAACUGGCAACAGUGUAAGCUUUGUUUAUAUUCGGAACGGUAGAGCGAGGGAGACGGCAUGAAAACAUGUUAUUAUUUCAUUUCAACCGUGGGAAACUGCGAGUUUUUCUUGAGAUCAUCAAAUUAUGAUACAAAUAGAAGCGGCACAAAUAAGGCCUGCAACAUUUCCAGCGUAACAAGCUGUUCGGGGUGGACGCCGGAUUCAUCACACAUCAUUAGAAUUUUCAGGAAAACGUUAACUGUGGAAAGGCUAGUAUGGAGAUCGGAAAGAAAGGGGUCAAGAAACAGCUUUACGAACAGCAGAACAAAGGAGAGGGAGCGUUUUCUUGGGGCUUUUCUUCACCCUCUCUGGCUUGCUUUCGCUGCCGCUACUGCCCAUUUGAAAUUUUUCUUGACAGAUUCCUUCCGAAGUGCAUACACCGCUGAAAAUAUGUGCGCGGUUCCAAAAUAUGGAGUGUUGAGCCGAGUGUAGAUCGGAUAUGUGUUGUUAAAUUUAAAAAUUGAAUAAAUAAACGUAGAAUUCAAAACGAACAACACAAAA